AGACAAAAAUAACUAUAUCUUCAUUAAUAGAAAGACGGUGUCAGAUACAUUAUAGAAAAUGAAAAACUAGAAUAACCAAAAAGUUCCACAUAAAAAAAGGACCACAGGGAGAGUGACUUAAGAUAACAGGAAACAAACAGGGCUUAAGAGGAAUUAAACUUAAGUAGAAGGUGGUUUAGGGACCUAAGAAGAAUAUCCAUACGAGCACUCUCUGUAGCAUGGGAAUUUAAGAUUUUCUUAAUAAGGUCCUUGACCUCAUCUUAAAGACCCUAAACUUAAUUAAUUAAGUAACUUGGGCUUUAAAUUUAGCAUUCUUCGCCUUCAAAUAAUCUGAGGUACCAGGUCCCUUAGUAGCUAGCUGCUGCACCCUUGCCUUUAGUUAUGUGAUCACAGCAUCACGAGUAGCCGCUGCCACCCUCAUUUCUUUUAAUUCACCAGUCAAGCAUUCCUGAAGAUCCAAUAAUCUAGACACCUAAGACUUGGUCCCUAUCUUCCCUUUCACACAUUCGAUUUCAAAUAGGGUUAACAUGGUGAACAUUAGCUUGGUUGUGCCUACCACUCCUCUUACACACUCAUUCUUUAAAUGUUUGAACACUUUAGUGAGAAGAUAAUCAUAGGGGAGCCCAUGUUUACCUUCCUUAAUGUGCAACACCAUAUACAUAUAUUCAAUUAUCAAGGUAGGUAGAUUGAUCAAUUCAAAUUUACUUAAAGCUUUCAUGAGAAAGCGUUCUGCUAUAGAAGAAAUUAUUUCUUUCUCAGGACAGGGAUUUAAGACUUUGUUAACGAAUUCAAAGAGCAACUAGAACUCUUCUUUUAAUAACUUUUUUGCACUCCAGCUCUAGAGUUUCCACCAACCUUAAAAGAAAACUGAACAAAUGGGAGAGAGGUUGUUGAUUGACCUGAUCACAUCUAUAGGGACUUCUGGAAUUUCUCAAAGUGACACUUCAUCUAGGAAUAUCUCUAC
rnacentral:lncRNA from 1 species